rnacentral:rRNA from 1 species
UACGUAGGGGGCUAGCGUUGUCCGGAUUUAUUGGGCGUAAAGAGCGUGUAGGCGGCCAGGUAGGCCCGUUGUGAAAACUCGAGGCUCAACCUCGAGACGUCGGCGGAAACCCUCUGGCUAGAGUCCGGAAGAGGAGAGUGGAAUUCCUGGUGUAGCGGUGAAAUGCGCAGAUAUCAGGAAGAACACCCGUGGCGAAGGCGGCUCUCUGGGACGGUACUGACGCUGAGACGCGAAAGCGUGGGGAGCGAACAGG